GUGACGGUACCUACUGAAUAAGCCCCGGCUAAAUACGUGCCAGCAGCCGCGGUAAUACGUAUGGGGCAAGCGUUAUCCGGAUUUACUGGGUGUAAAGGGCGCGUAGGCGGGCUUGCAAGUCGGAUGUGAAAUACCAUGGCUUAACUUUGGUCUUGCAUCCGAAACUGUAGGUCUUGAGUGUCAGAGAGGAAAGUGGAAUUCCUAGUGGAGCGGUAAAAUGCGUAGAGAUUAGGAGGAACACCGGUGGCGAAGGCGACUUUCUGGCUGACAACUGACGCUGAGGCGCGAAAGCGUGGGGAGCAAACAGGAUUAGAUACCCUGGUAGUCCACGCCGUAAACGAUGAUUACUAGGUGUAGGGGGUAUCGACUCCCUCUGUGCCGCAGUUAACGCAUUAAGUAAUCCACCUGGGGAGUACGGCCGCAAGGUUA
rnacentral:rRNA from 2 species